CAAAAGUGCUCACGAGAGCACGGCUUCUAUGCAUAAUUCAGGGGAUCUCCGUCCGAAGAUUCCUGGCGGGGCCAGACGAAGAUUGGUUUUCGGUGCGGAUGAGGAGCGAGAUCAUGGUCGAAGACAGGUGGAAGGCUCACCGACCAAGAUUUAUCAUAGAAGUAGCCAGGAGGAUAGAGCUGCCAAGUUGGCAAAGAUGGCGGACGAAGCAGAUAGAGCCAUGGAAGUCCUGUUAAAGCAAAUAGAAGAUAUAGCCGAACAGAUGCU
rnacentral:lncRNA from 1 species